rnacentral:rRNA from 1 species
GUGUCAGCAGCCGCGGUAAUACUAAGGUCCCAAGCGUUAUCCGGAUUUAUUGGGUUUAAAGGGUGCGUAGGCGGGUUAUUAAGUCAGUGAUGAAAGCCUGCAGCUCAACUGCAGAAUUGCCAUUGAUACUGAUUAUCUUGAGUAUGAUUGAGGUGGGCGGAAUGUGUCAUGUAGCGGUGAAAUGCUUAGAUAUGACACAGAACACCGAUUGCGAAGGCAGCUCACUAAGUCAUAACUGACGCUGAUGCACGAAAGCGUGGGGAGCAAACAGGAUUAGAUACCCUUGUAGUCC